UUUUUUUUUUUUUAAUUUUUUUUUUAAAUUUUAUUUAUUCAUUAUAUGUAAGUACACUGUAGCUGUCUUCAGACACUCCAGAAGAGGGCGUCAGACCCCGUUACGGAUGGUUGUGAGCCACCAUGUGGUUGCUGGGAUUUGAACUCCUGACCUUCGGAAGAGCAGUCGGGUGCUCUUACCCGCUGAGCCAUCUCACCAGCCCUCGUGGGUGAUUCUUACACAUGACCAAGUCCAGCUGCAGCAUGAGGUACAAUCUUGGGCUAUCUCUGGAAAACAUCAUCUUUGUGCUCUGAGAAAACACUUCCAAGAUUUCACCUCUGUAAUACUGGUUCAUUCUUUCUCUUUCUUUCUUUCUUUCUUUCUUUCUUUCUUUCUUUCUUUCUUUCUUUCUUUCUCUCUCUCUCUUCCUCUCUCUCUCUCUUCCUUUCUUCCUUCCUUCCUUCCUUCCUUCCUUUCUUUCUUUGUUUCUUUCUUUCUUUUUCGAGACAGGGUUUCUCUGUGUAGCCCUGGGUGUCCUGGAACUCACUCUGUAGACCAGGCUGGCCUCGAACUCAGAAAUCCGUCUAUCUCUGCCUCCCAAGUGCUGGGAUUAAAGGCAUACACCGCCGCCACUACCACCGCCAGUUUUUUCUUAAUCACCACUGAUUUCUUAGCUCCCACUAACUAGCAUCAAUUGUCCCAGUAGUCUCCUUCUCUUCUUGACUAUAAAGUCAGAGCCACAUGACUGAAGCUGCCAUGUUCUGCUGCUUGCUGGAGCUGGAGCAUGCCCCCCUUGUUCUAUUACAUCAUUACCAGUUUUCUGUUUUCCAACUCCUCCCUGCCUAAGCUUGGCUGUCCUGGAACUUGCUGUGUAGAUUGAUCUUGAACUCAGUGAUCUACCUGGCUCAGUCUCCUGAAUGCUGGGAUCAAAGUUGUGUACCACCACACCUGGACUUAAGCCUUUCAUCACUUAGAACUUGUUCUGUCCCAGGCUGGCCUUGAAUUCAGAGGUCUGCUUGACUUUGUCUCCUGGGAUUAAAGGUGUGGAUCACCAUGCCUGGGCCAAAGCUUUUCAUGUCCACUAUGCUUCAAUAUCCGGAUCAAAAGCCUGUGUCUUCCAGCCUUAUGAUCUAGAUUAUAAUUUCUGAAUUGCAGUUCAUUCCAGAUUAAAAGUCCAAAUGAAAACAACCAGGUAGUAAUGCCUAACAUGAUAUAGCUGUUCCUUGUUCAACUGCAAACACAUAAACAAUAAGCUUAGCGGGUGAGAACUUGCCCUGAGCUCACCACUCCCUUAAUCUGUUCAUCUCUGUUCUACUUCCUGCUGCCCUUUAUUCUUUGAUCCAUACAUGUUGUGCUUUUCCUUUUGAAGCUUAUUACACUUGAUCAAAAUGUUCUUCAUGCAAUUAAACCAGAGAACAAAGUCUCUGCUAGGCUUUUUUGUUUUGUUUUGUUUGUUUGUUUGUUUGUUUGUUUGUUUUUUUCCUGCUAGACUUUUUUGAGACUUCAUUUGUCAAUGCAAUUAAUAUAAGUCUCUUUACCUUAGCCUCAAAUAGACUUUUCAGACAAGGGCAAAAGCCAGCCACAUUUUUCACUUAAAUACCACAAAACCAGUCUCUAGGACACAUACCAUAAUUCUUCUUUUUUGAAACCUCUCAGUCCAGGCAUGUACAGUUCGAAUCACCCUUAGCACCAAUGUCUUCCAUAUUCCUACUAGGAUGGCCCAUUAAGCCCCCAACAUUCUACUGCUUUCCAACAUCCCAAAAUCCACAUUCCUCCAAACAAAACAUGGUCAGGCAUAACACAGCAAUAUCCCAGUCCCUGGUACCAACUUCUGUCUUAGAGUGUCUAUUGCUGUGAACAGAAACUGAAAGACCUCUGAAGGGAGACCCUCACUCAAGUCUCGGGAUAAUAGCAGACCCCCAAAAACUCACAAGAGAUCAAACUUGAUGCAAACCACACAAGGCUUUAUUCAGGGAAAGCCAGAGCUCUGGGAACGACUCAUAUCCCAGGGAUAGAGGAGUCGACCCUGAGGGAAAAGGGUCCCAGUUUUUAUAGGCCCUCGGGGGGGAAGGAAAAGGAGAGAGUGGGGGAUUUCCAGAUCUAAACAAUGUCUAUUCUCAAGAAAUGGGUAUGGGAGGGGUACAAGGAAAGCAUCUGGUGCAGGUGCAGCAACUCCGGAUUGGCCCCGGCUGUGGUUGCUAGGGAGAUUUUCCGACUCUUCCCCAGCAACCAAUAUCACAAACACCUGACAGUGAGCUUCAUCAGUGGGCACACACAUGGGUUCAAGGAACGGUCAAAACAUUGGCAGAUACACAGGUUCAAGGAGCAGCCAGAGCAUUGUGAACCUAUCAGUGAAGCUAGUUCUGCUAACAAUGAAAUCUAUUUUGCCAAUUUCAGGGCUUCUGUGACCUUUUACAAAACUAUGACCAAGACAACUCUUAUAAAGGACAAGAGGUUCAUUCCAUUAUCAAGGCAGAAAGCAUAGCAACAUCUAGGCAGGCAUGGAGCUGGAGGGGCUGAGAGUUCUACAUCUUGUUCUGAAGGCAAACAGGAGAAGACCAAUUCACAGGCAUCUAGGAGGAGGGUCUCAGAGCCCAUCCCCACAGUGACACACUUCCUCCAAUGCUGGGGACAGCAUACCAUGACAUAAAUGGCACCUGGGAUCCAGAGAAGCAGCAGCCAUAUCCCUUCAGGGGACCCACCAUCAGAAAUAAGGAACUACCUACAGCAGGCCUAGAUGGAGACAUCUCAGAAGCUUGAGGGCAGCUCUUCAUUAAAAAAAAAAAAAAAAAAAAAAAAAAAAAGUUGUUUCUUUUUCUCCUAACCUUAGCCCUGGACAAUGGCUAUAUAGACUUUAUUUGUGCAUGACUGCUUUUCAGUUGACCAUGGUGUGCAAAAUUAUUCUAAUAUCUGACUUUCCUAUUUCUUUCUCCUUCUGCUCUGGUGAAUUCUGUGAAACUUGAUGUUCCUUAAUGUAAUGAUUCUUAAACAAUCAAAACUUGAAGCAUAGGGGCUCAGCACAACACAGCCCUAAUGGCCCAGGUGCACGCUUGUGCACUCUCAUCUUGGAAACAAUGUAAUAUCUGCACAGCGGUAGUUUCAGAUUAAUGUUUGACUUGCAAAGAAAGUUUGAAUAAAUUAUGUUUAGAAAUAAAUUAAGAAAAUGAAGCAGAGCCAAUAUUGGGACCCUGAGAAAGGAAAAAAGCUAUUGAAGUUAUGAAAUGAGUUUUGUGCAACAUUUGAGAGUGGUUCCUGGUCUCCUUUGGAAAUGUAUGACUAAGCAAGUAUAGAAUACAUAAAACCUUAUACUAGUAAUACUAAGU
rnacentral:lncRNA from 1 species